GCCUCUAUAGCUCAGUGGUAGAGCGCUUGACUUGUACCUAAUAGAUAUCAAGAGGUCCGUGGUUCAAUCCCGCGUGGAGGCA
rnacentral:tRNA from 1 species